UAAGGAGGAAAAGAAACCAACCGGGAUUGCCUUAGUAACGGCGAGUGAAGCGGCAAAAGCUCAAAUUUGAAAUCUGGCGUCUUCGACGUCCGAGUUGUAAUUUGAAGAAGGCGACUUUGUAGCUGGUCCUUGUCUAUGUUCCUUGGAACAGGACGUCAUAGAGGGUGAGAAUCCCGUGUGGCGAGGAUCCCAGUUAUUUGUAAAGUGCUUUCGACGAGUCGAGUUGUUUGGGAAUGCAGCUCUAAGUGGGUGGUAAAUUCCAUCUAAAGCUAAAUAUUGGCGAGAGACCGAUAGCGAACAAGUACAGUGAUGGAAAGAUGAAAAGAACUUUGAAAAGAGAGUGAAAAAGUACGUGAAAUUGUUGAAAGGGAAGGGCAUUUGAUCAGACAUGGCGUUUGCUUCGGCUUUCGCUGGGCCAGCAUCAGUUUUAGCGGUUGGAUAAAUCCUCGGGAAUGUGGCUCUGCUUCGGUAGAGUGUUAUAGCCCGUGGGAAUACAGCCAGCUGGGACUGAGGAUUGCGACUUUUGUCAAGGAUGCUGGCGUAAUGGUUAAAUGCCGCCCGUCUUG
rnacentral:rRNA from 1 species